rnacentral:rRNA from 1 species
CCUACGGGAGGCAGCAGUGAGGAAUAUUGGUCAAUGGCCGAGAGGCUGAACCAGCCAAGUCGCGUGAGGGAAGACGGCCCUACGGGUUGUAAACCUCUUUUGUCGGGGAGCAAAGCGACCCACGUGUGGUUCCUUGCGAGUACUCGCUGAAAAAGCACCGGCUAACUCCGUCCAAGCAGCCGCGGUAAUACGGGGGAUGCGAGCGUUAUCCGGAUUUAUUGGGUUUAACGGGUGCGCAGGCGGAGGUGCAAGUCAGCGGUCAAAUUCCGGGGCUCAACCCCGUACUGCCGUUGAAACUGCAUCCCUUGAGUGCGCGAGAGGUAGGCGGAAUGCGUGGUGUAGCGGUGAAAUGCAUAGAUAUCACGCAGAACUCCGAUUGCGAAGGCAGCAUACCGGCGCGCAACUGACGCUCAUGCACGAAAGCGUGGGUAUCGAACAGGAUUAGAUACCCUUGUAGUC